UCGGCAGGGGGCGUGGCUACACGGAGUCCAGGGGGCGGAGCUACACGGGACUGUCUCAGGCUGCCUGCUGCUCACAUGGCUGCUGCUGUGCUGUGAGAGGGAGAGUUAAAGCUGAUGCACAUGCAGGGCAGCCAGUGAGAGUAAACUCUGCUGUAGUGUGUAAGCUGAUCCCGCCUGUGUUUUUCCGGACACUCCUGUAAAACGGUCAGUUGCCACCCACAAACGGCCUCUUCUGUCAAUCACCUUGCGAACGCCCAUCAAAAUUUUCACUCCAACCCAUCGCUAGGCACCAAUGCCCAGUGCAGUUAUCCGGUGCAUAUGCAUGCGCAGUUCCGAUCUGAUCGCGAAAAUGCACAGCAGCAAUCAGGGGGAUCAGUAUGAGAUCCCGGUGGUCAGGAGAUCGACACCGGGAACCCAACAGCCAGGAUCCCGGCUGCGAGUGCAACGUGUCUGCUCGCCACGCUUUGGGAUAAAUGGGAUAUAGAAAUUCACGCUUGUAGGUGAUCUGAAUUCUGAGCCUGUGUCCUCAGUAUGCCAGAGCAGAAAGGAGGAGAUGAGAUCCUGUAAUUAUUUCAUAUUUUACAGUGCCCAAGGUGUCAUCUACAUUUGCUGGGCAGUAAGCAUUAUUCUAAGAAAAGGGUAAGAUGAUUACACCUGGUACCAGGGAAGUAGUUAAUUCUCAGAUGUUGUGUCUCUCUCCUUCCGUGCCCUGUGAACAGGAGACGUCCAUUUCUGG